GACGAACGCUGGCGGCGUGCUUAACACAUGCAAGUCGAACGGAAAGGCCCUGCUUUUGUGGGGUGCUCGAGUGGCGAACGGGUGAGUAACACGUGAGUAACCUGCCCUUGACUUUGGGAUAACUUCAGGAAACUGGGGCUAAUACCGGAUAGGAGCUCCUGCUGCAUGGUGGGGGUUGGAAAGUUUCGGCGGUUGGGGAUGGACUCGCGGCUUAUCAGCUUGUUGGUGGGGUAGUGGCUUACCAAGGCUUUGACGGGUAGCCGACCUGAGAGGGUGACCGGCCACAUUGGGACUGAGAUACGGCCCAGACUCCUACGGGAGGCAGCAGUGGGGAAUAUUGCACAAUGGGCGGAAGCCUGAUGCAGCAACGCCGCGUGCGGGAUGAAGGCCUUCGGGUUGUAAACCGCUUUCGCCUGUGACGAAGCGUGAGUGACGGUAAUGGGUAAAGAAGCACCGGCUAACUACGUG
rnacentral:rRNA from 1 species